AGCGAACGUUAGCGGCGCGCCUAACACAUGCAAGUCGCACGAGAAAGGGGGCAACCCCCGGUACAGUGGCGCACGGGUGAGUAACACGUGGGUGAUCUGCCCCGAAGAAGGGGAUAACCUCUCGAAAGGGGGGCUAAUACCGCAUAGGACCACCGGGGCUUUGGCUCUGUGGUGCAAGGCGGCCUCUGUUUACAAGCUCCUGCUUCUGGGCGAGCCCGCGUCCCAUCAGCUAGUUGGUAGGGUAAUGGCCUACCAAGGCUACGACGGGUAGCUGGUCUAAGAGGCUGGCCAGCCACACUGGAACUGAGACACGGUCCAGACUCCUACGGGAGGCAGCAGUGGGGAAUCUUGCGCAAUGGGCGAAAGCCUGACGCAGCGACGCCGCGUGGGUGACGAAGGCCUUCGGGUUGUAAAGCCCUGUGGGGUAGAACGAACUGGCAUCGGGCUAAUAUCUCGGUGUCUUGACGGUACUGCCUUAGCAAGCAUCGGCUAACUCUGUGCCAGCAGCCGCCGUAAGAC
rnacentral:rRNA from 1 species